GUUCUGCCGUGCAGUGCUGCGCGCUCGGCGGUAUUUGCAGCGCACGCCAUCUGUCGCAGGUUCUGCCGCAGGUUCCAGAUGUAAUGGAAUACAAAUGGGCAGUAUUAAGACUCUGGUUCUGUGCCUGACUCUCCGGGACCCCCUUACCCUUAGCUGGGUGAUUAAUCUGUGAUGGAUCCUUGAUAGAGGUAUUUCCCGUCGAGGCAGCCUCCACCCAUUUCGGCCUCGACCUGCCUCGUUGGCUGAAGCCCCCUCCCCCCCAGAAGAAUGUCGCUGCAGAAGAUUUCUCCGAUGUCUCACCCGAUGUCACUCACGUCGGGCGUGUUGACCUCAUCAUGGCCACCCUGCUCUGCACUCCCAUACUCUCCUGCUUAAUUAAGCUGCAGACACACUCCGCUUCCUGCACCCCGUGACCCUCCACGACUCCACGGCAGGAGGCCGGUGGCGGGGAGGAGACGGUCUGCGUAGUGGGUUUGACUGCAAGCAACUUACAGUGGAAGAACGUUUGCCCGGCCUCUCUUCUCACCACCACCACUGACUGGAGCCCCCAAACGGAACUGAUCUUCAUAUUGAGCUCUUGGUGUUCAGCAAAAGAGAGAAUCUGCCUUUGGCAUGAGUGAAUUCCACUUACUACACAGUCAGUUGAGGUGUAGUGCAUUUUGAAGAGGAGUAGGUUAGGGGGAUGGACAGGGUCCUCUAUAGUGACUUAUGUUCAUGGGUUGACAUCAUCUUCAGAGGCAGUACUCUAAUGAGUGCUUGUAGGUGGUAGUCAUAUAAAUUUUAAAUGAUCAUUGCCCUCUCCUGGAUCUGAUGUUUGAAAUUGGCUUCUUCCAUUUCAAUUGACUUGAGGUCAAAUGUCUCAACUGAUGGCUGGCACACGUGGAUGUGCAUUAACGUAGAAAGGCUCUUAUAUGAUAGCUUCCUGUACUGCUUUUUUGAUAACGCUGGCUCAUGAAAUUCCCUGUGUAUAAGCAACAUGUGUGAAAACUGGUGUUAGACUAGCAGGCCUGAUUGCUAGUAUUUACAUUGUUUAGCAAAAUUAACAGUAAUCAGCAGAUCAACUUCCUAUCAGCAGGAGGAGGCAGUGCUACCUUCUAUUGCCCAAUAAACUCGCUAAUAGGA